rnacentral:rRNA from 1 species
AACGAACGCUGGCGGCAGGCCUCAAACAUGCAAGUCUAGGGGGUGCAGCAAUGCAUCACCGGCGGGCGGGUGCGUAACGCGUGGGAAUAUACCUUUUGGUUCGGAACAACUGCGGGAAACUGCAGCUAAUACCGAAUGUGCCCUAACGGGGAAGAUUUAUCGCCAAAGGAUUAGCCCGCGUAGGAUUAGCUAGUUGGUGAGGUAAUGGCUCACCAAGGCUCCGAUCCUUAGCGUUCUGAGAGGAGAUCAGCCACACUGGACUGAGACACGGCCCAGACUCCUACGGGAGGCAGCAGGUUGGGAAUCUUGGACAAGUGGGGAAACCCUGAUCCAGCCAUGCCGCGUGAGUGAUGAA